AAAAAUCCGGCCAGAUAUUCGUAUUUUCCAGUUGGGCAUCGCCUCCAUCUGAUCAGGAAACACACACACAAGGUGCCCCGCCAAUGGCUCCGCCAUACACCAAGCUCCCGCACCAGCGACACCAAUUCCGUACCUUCAUCGACGCCAGAAUCAAAUGGGUCCGAGACCCAUACCUCGACUUCGCGGUCCAUCGAGAGAAAGACCUCCAGCAAGCCGUCUUCCUCAAGAACCACAUCCUCUCAACCCCUUCCAAGUCCCUCCCUCUCUCCACCGCCUCUCUCCUCAAAGCUCACCUCCACCUCCCCACCUCCACCUACAAGUUCUCCCUGAAAUACCCCUCCAUUUUCACCCAAUUCCAUCCCCGUCCUAACCUCCCUCCUCAACUUAAGCUCACCCAGCAAGCCCUUGCCCUCCACAAAGAAGAAUCCGCCAUUCACAGCUCCCCGAUUCACCGAAAGGAAGCGGUUCGACGCCUCUCCAAGCUCCUAAUGCUCACCAGAGCCUGCAAAUUGCCUAUAUAUAUAGUAGAUAGAUUGAUAUGGGACAUGGGUCUUCCUCAUAAUUAUGUUUUGACCCUUCUCGCAGAUUUCCCCGAGUAUUUUCAGGUUUGCGAGAUCAAGGACGAGUUGAGUGGUGAGCAAGUGCUUGCCUUAGAGCUUGUUUCUUGGAGGGACGAACUGGCAGUGUCGGAAUUGGAGAGAAGGGUGUUGAACUGCGGUAACUCGGGCUCCAAGAGAGGAAGGCCCAUUGCGUUCCCCAUGUGUUUGCCAAAAGGAUUUGAGUUAGAGAAAAAAGUCUGGAAUUGGUUCGAGGAGUGGCAAGAGCUUCCGUACAUUUCUCCCUACGAGAAUGCGUUUCACUUGUCGCCUAAUAGCGCUCAGGCUGAGAAGUGGGCUGUGGCGGUGCUUCACGAGUUGUUUUGGUUGCUUGUGUCGAAGAAGAUGGAGAGGGACCUUGCGUUUUGCGUGGGGGAGUACUUGGGGUUUGGGGCUAGGUUUAAGAAGGCUUUGUCUCAUUAUCCAGGUAUAUUUUACGUGUCAAAUAAGAUCAGGACGCAGACUGUGGUGCUUAGGGAGGCUUAUAGGAAGGAUUUCUUGGUGGAGAAGCAUCCAUUGAUGGGUAUGAGGUAUCGGUACAUUCAUCUUAUGAAUAAGGUGCCUAAGUGGCGAAAGCAAGCGGUUGUUAUGGCCACUGGGGUUGAACAGAAGGCUGCUUUAUCUGGCGAAUGCCAAUGGGUAGAUAGAAAAGGAGGAAAAGUGAACUGCGUGAUCCAAAGCUACAGAAGCACAGGUUGCGGCCCGGUGGACAUCUUUGGCUGGCUGGCUGCUGCGGCGGCAGAACUAAUCAUAGGAAUGGUGCCAGGUUUCAGGCGUGCAGGAAGUUAAGAUGAUCAAGUCCCCAUAUGCAGAGACCGGCAUUCGUCUGAUGAGACGAGGAGCAACCGAGAUGACUUCCCUCCACGAAGUAUGACUCUUGUCCCUAAGGUGUAACCUGCUUCCCCGGACAAAAAGACAGGCCCUUUGGAGAAAACAUGAACCACCUUGUGGAAGGAGAAUAAAACAGUAAGCUGAGGUUUUCGUUGACUUGUUUCAUGGAAGCAAGAGAUGGGUUGUCGAUAAUGUCGCACCAGGUUUUGGAGAGACGGGGACAGCGAAGAGGAGGUUGAAGAUGAUAUCUGAAGGUAGGUCCUCAAACCUUUUAUAGUUCUGUUGUAACCUGCAUGUUCCAGGAGGAGCAAUAUUUCUGAUUCACGUUCGAAUAACUACACCAAAGGUUGAGUAAUUAA